rnacentral:rRNA from 1 species
GAUGAACGCUGGCGGUAUGCCUAACACAUGCAAGUCGUACGAGAGUUUUUAACUCUAGUGGCGGACGGGUGAGUAACACGUGAGAAUUUGCCUUUAGGAGGGGGAUAACAAUUGGAAACGAAUGCUAAUACCCCAUAUGCUUUUGAGUGAAAUGGAUUUUAUCCGCCUAGAGAGAAGCUCGCGGCUGAUUAGCUUGUUGGUAAGGUAAGAGCUUACCAAGGCGACGAUCAGUAUCUGGUUUGAGAGGACGAUCAGACACACUGGAACUGAGACACGGUCCAGACUCCUACGGGAGGCAGCAGUGGGGAAUUUUCCGCAAUGGGCGAAAGCCUGACGGAGCAAUACCGCGUGAGGGAAGAAUGCCUAUGGGUUGUAAACCUCUUUUUUCAGGGAGGAAUAAAAUGACGUGUACCUGAAGAAUAAGACUCCGGCUAACUCCGUG